AUGAACGCUGGCGGCGUGCUUAACACAUGCAAGUCGAACGGUGAAAGAGAGCUUGCUCUCUGGAUCAGUGGCGAACGGGUGAGUAACACGUGAGCAACCUGCCCCGGACUCUGGGAUAACAGUUGGAAACAGCUGCUAAUACCGGAUACGAGCUGCGAAGGCAUCUUCAGCAGCUGGAAAGAACUUCGGUCUGGGAUGGGCUCGCGGCCUAUCAGCUAGUUGGUGAGGUAACGGCCCACCAAGGCGUCGACGGGUAGCCGGCCUGAGAGGGUGACCGGCCACACUGGGACUGAGACACGGCCCAGACUCCUACGGGAGGCAGCAGUGGGGAAUAUUGCACAAUGGGCGGAAGCCUGAUGCAGCGACGCCGCGUGAGGGAUGAAGGCCUUCGGGUUGUAAACCUCUUUCAGCAGGGACGAAGCGUGAGUGACGGUACCUGCAGAAGAAGCACCGGCUAACUACGU
rnacentral:rRNA from 1 species